UACGUAGGGAGCAAGCGUUGUCCGGAAUCAUUGGGCGUAAAGCGCGUGUAGGCGGCAGGGCGUGUCGGAUGUGAAAUCCCGUGGCUCAACCACGGAAGUGCACCCGAAACUGCCCAGCUUGAGUCUCGGAGAGGAAGGCGGAAUGCUUGGUGUAGAGGUGAAAUUCGUAGAUAUCAAGCGGAACACCGGUGGCGAAGGCGGCCUUCUGGACGAUGACUGACGCUGAGACGCGAAAGCGUGGGGAGCAAACAGG
rnacentral:rRNA from 1 species